UUUAUUCUCACUCCAUGCAGCCUUACUGUCGUGAUGGAUUGCUAUGCAGUGGCCAUAGCGUGCGUUUUCCAUGGAGCUCCUGUGCGCCGAUCCAGCUUCACUCUCUCCUCGUCCUCGUUCUUCCGUCUACCCACCCACCCACGCAGGAUUUUUCUCGCGGAGCGUUUCCUCACAUUAGCGCACGCAGAUGCGCUCACGGUCUGUGUGCAAACCACAGGCGGAUCCCUCCUUAAUGAGGCGUGAGAGGUUAAACCGUAACCUCAAGCUCAGCUCUCCAGUGCGGCUGCAGCGAGUGCGCGUGUGCAGGGAGUCUAGGGGAGAGUCUGAUUUGUAUUCAGGCUCGUGCCUCCCUCUCCAUCUCUCGCUGAGGAUUCAGGUAACAGUGUGAGCUGUAGUGAAUGUAGGUUAAUGCUAUAUUCAAAGUGAUCUGCUGUUGGUCAAGCGUGCCAAGCGUUGUUUUACAAUGUCUAAAACAAAUAGCAGCAGCAUUGCUCUCGUUAGUGAUGCUUGGAUCAGUAUUGAUAGUAAUGCAUAGUGAAUAGUCUAAUGAAUGACAGUGACCCACAUAAGACAAAUGACCGCCAGUA